rnacentral:rRNA from 1 species
GUAGUCAAGAUGAGAAUUCUAAGGUGAGCGAGCGAACUCUCGUUAAGGAACUCGGCAAAAUGACCCCGUAACUUCGGGAGAAGGGGUGCUCUUUAGGGUUAACGCCCAGAAGAGCCGCAGUGAAUAGGCCCAAGCGACUGUUUAUCAAAAACACAGGUCUCUGCUAAACCGUAAGGUGAUGUAUAGGGGCUGACGCCUGCCCGGUGCUGGAAGGUUAAGAGGAGUGGUUAGCUUCUGCGAAGCUACGAAUCGAAGCCCCAGUAAACGGCGGCCGUAACUAUAACGGUCCUAAGGUAGCGAAAUUCCUUGUCGGGUAAGUUCCGACCCGCACGAAAGGCGUAACGAUUUGGGCACUGUCUCAACGAGAGACUCGGUGAAAUCAUAGUACCUGUGAAGAUGCAGGUUACCCGCGACAGGACGGAAAGACCCCGUGGAGCUUUACUGUAGCCUGAUAUUGAAAUUCGGCACAGCUUGUACAGGAUAGGUAGGAGCCUUUGAAACGUGAGCGCUAGCUUACGUGGAGGCGCUGGUGGGAUACUACCCUA